rnacentral:rRNA from 1 species
UACAGAGGGUGCGAGCGUUAAUCGGAAUUACUGGGCGUAAAGCGUGCGUAGACGGUAGCGUAAGUCAGAUGUGAAAGCCCCGGGCUCAACCUGGGAAUUGCAUUUGAGACUGCUCUGCUCGGGUGCGGAAGAGGGAAGCGGAAUUUCCGGUGUAGCGGUGAAAUGCGUAGAUAUCGGAAGGAACACCUGUGGCGAAAGCGGCUCACUGGACCAUUACUGACACUGAGGCACGAAAGCUAGGGGAGCAAACAGG